UGUUAUUAGUCAAGUUGGUGAUUCCAGCAGUGAUGAAGCAGUAAUGUGUUAGGAGAACCUUUGUUGGUUUCUUCGAGGAAAUAUAAUUGUACGCUUGGCUUCUGAGCUCAAAUACUUUUGACUUCUUUUUAAAUUGUUUUGUAAUAUUCUAACUAUGUUAUUAGUCAUGUUGGUAAUUCCAGCAGUGAUGAAGCAGUAAUGUGUUAGAAGAACCUUUGUUGGUUUCUUCAAGGAAAUAUAAUUAUACGCUUGGCUUCUGAGCUCAAAUACUUUUGACUUCUUUUUAAAUUGUUUUGUAAUAUUCUAACUAUGUUAUUAGUCAUGUUGGUAAUUCCAGCAGUGAUGAAGCAUUAAUGUGUUAGGAGAACCUUCAUUUGGUUUCUUCGAGGACAUAUACUUGUACGCUUGGCUUCUGAGCUCAAAUGCUUGAACUUGCUUGUUGCAUAGUUUCAUUUCCUUAAAAUUUUAUUCAAAUGAUCUCAACAUGAUGUACUUAGGUUUUGACUCCUGAAAGGGAAAACACUUAGAAGACAAUUGUAUGUGGAUUGGUUGCUUAUGUGCUUGUGUUGGAUGUUGUUAGGCC
rnacentral:lncRNA from 1 species